AGGGAUCAUUACAGAGUUGCAAAACUCCCCAAACCAUUGUGAACCUUACCUUCAACCGUUGCUUCGGCGGGCGGGCCACAGCGCCCCCCCGGGCCCCCCCGCGGGGCUGCCCGCCGGAGGAUACCCAAACUCUUGAUACUGUACGGCCUCUCUGAGUCUUCUGUACUGAAUAAGUCAAAACUUUCAACAACGGAUCUCUUGGUUCUGGCAUCGAUGAAGAACGCAGCGAAAUGCGAUAAGUAAUGUGAAUUGCAGAAUUCAGUGAAUCAUCGAAUCUUUGAACGCACAUUGCGCCCGCCAGUAUUCUGGCGGGCAUGCCUGUUCGAGCGUCAUUUCAACCAUCAAGCCCCCGGCUUGUGUUGGGGACCUGCGGCUGCCCGCAGGCCCUGAAAACCAGUGGCGGGCUCGCUGUCACACCGAGCGCAGUAGCAUCAUCUCGCUCAGGGCGUGCUGCGGGUUCCGGCCGUUAAAAGCCUCCAUUUACCCAAGGUUGACCUCGGAUCAGGUAGGAAGACCCGCUGAACUUAAGCAUAUCAAUAAGCAGACAAAA
rnacentral:rRNA from 1 species